CCUACGGGAGGCAGCAGUGAGGAAUAUUGGUCAAUGGGCUUACGCCUGAACCAGCCAAGUCGCGUGAGGGAAGACUGCCCUAUGGGGUGUAAACCUCUUUUGUCAGGGAGCAACGCCGGCUACGUGUAGCCGGACGGAGAGGACCUGAAGAAAAAGCAGCGGCUAACUCCGUGCCAGCAGCCGCGGGAAGACGGAGGAUGCGAGCGUUAUCCGGAUUUCUUGGGUUUCAAGGGUGCGGAGGCGGAAUGCCAAGUCAGCGGUAAAAUCGCGGGGCUCAACCUCGCUCCGCCGUUGAAACUGGCGUUCUUGAGUCUGCGAGAAGUAUGCGGAAUGCGUUGUGUCGCGGUG
rnacentral:rRNA from 1 species